UACGUAGGAGGCAAGCGUUGUCCGGAAUUAUUGGGCGUAAAGCGCGCGCAGGCGGUUUCUUAAGUCUGAUGUGAAAGCCCACGGCUCAACCGUGGAGGGUCAUUGGAAACUGAGGAGCUUGAGUGCAGGAGAGGAGAGUGGAAUUCCAUGUGUAGCGGUGAAAUGCGUAGAGAUGUGGAGGAACACCAGUGGCGAAGGCGACUUUCUGGUCUGUAACUGACGCUGAGGUGCGAAAGCGUGGGGAGCGAACAGG
rnacentral:misc_RNA from 1 species